AAUGGUGUUCAGUGUGAUAUAUAGCCAAAUAGUAUCUUCAAUCAGUAGAAGCUAGCCUUAAAAUAAAUUUUAGUUCAUGGAUUAUUGCUGGACCAUGACGCUGCACAAUUUCUUACUGUGUUUCAUAGGAAACGAAGUAAAACCAAAAGCCAAGAUUACAGCAAUUGCAGAAAAAGUGAGUCCAGAGAAGCAGAUUAUAUCUGAAUAGUAUAAAUGCAACCGAUCUUCAAUUGCUCAUUAACAACAGGGUUGUACUGUUUAUUUUUAUUGCAGUUGUGAUU
rnacentral:lncRNA from 1 species